UUUAAAAACGCCGUUUUUAUUAUAUUGCGCUGCGUUAGACGCUGGAUUGCUUCUCUGCCGGAAACUCACGCGAGGCGUUCGGGAAAAUUCGCGAACUUUUCCGACACGCGCCGCAGGAACAGAAAUGAAAGAAAAAAAAAUGGCGGAGAUGGAAGACUACUGUAGGCUUCCGGACCUCAAAGCGCCUCCUAGAGGAAGAACCGUAUAAACGUUUUCAGCCGAAACGUUCUCCACCAUAUAUCCGAUGCAGCACAUGGCGGGGACUCGGGCAACAUCGGCAAUCGGAAAACCCGAUUUUUAUUCUGUACUAGAUUUUAGCCUGGGGGCUCUAUCCAACCAACACCAAUAACUGCACUGUGUUAUUUAAACAACUUAUGAUAUUUGCAAUAAAAUAUAUGAAUAAAUUACACAUUUAAUUGCAUUUUUAUUUUAAUCAUGGGGCAACAUUUGGCCACUAAACUUACUUACAGUAUUAAUUGUUUUUAGUUACGAGUCAAUAAGCCUAGAAAAAAUAUUUCAUAAAAAAUAAUAAUUGGAUUUUAAAAAAUGCAUGAAAGUUCCAAAUAACUGCAAAUGUUUAUAGAAAUAUAUAAACACCUUUGCUAUAAAGAAUGCAUAUACAUUUUAUUUAGAGGUACAUGACAUGCUAAUUUUUUUUUUUUAUAAAUUCUAUAUGGAAAGAAACAUGACUCCACCACAAGACACUUUUAUUAUAAAUGUUUGUCAUGGACACAGUGGUGAUGAUCAUGCAUGAAUCGGCAAACCUUUGGCUUUGCAACCCACACUCUUCUUAUAAAAAAAAAAAAAAAAAAA